AUUGAACGCUGGCGGCAUGCCUUACACAUGCAAGUCGAACGGUAACAGGUCUUCGGAUGCUGACGAGUGGCGAACGGGUGAGUAAUACAUCGGAACGUGCCCGAUCGUGGGGGAUAACGAGGCGAAAGCUUUGCUAAUACCGCAUACGAUCUACGGAUGAAAGCGGGGGAUCUUCGGACCUCGCGCGGACGGAGCGGCCGAUGGCAGAUUAGGUAGUUGGUGGGAUAAAAGCUUACCAAGCCGACGAUCUGUAGCUGGUCUGAGAGGAUGAUCAGCCACACUGGGACUGAGACACGGCCCAGACUCCUACGGUAGGCAGCAGUGGGGAAUUUUGGACAAUGGGCGAAAGCCUGAUCCAGCCAUGCCGCGUGCAGGAUGAAGGCCUUCGGGUUGUAAACUGCUUUUGUACGGAACGAAAAGCCUCUUUCUAAUAAAGAGAGGUCAUGACGGUACCGUAAGAAUAAGCACCGGCUAACUACGUG
rnacentral:rRNA from 1 species